rnacentral:rRNA from 1 species
GGGCCCGCACAAGCAGCGGAGCAUGUGGUUUAAUUCGAAGCAACGCGAAGAACCUUACCAAGGCUUGACAUCCCGGUGACCGGUAUAGAGAUAUACCUUUUCUUCGGAACACCGGUGACAGGUGGUGCAUGGUUGUCGUCAGCUCGUGUCGUGAGAUGUUGGGUUAAGUCCCGCAACGAGCGCAACCCUUGUCACUAGUUGCCAGCAUGUAAUGAUGGGAACUCUAGUGAGACUGCCGUGGAUAACACGGAGGAAGGUGGGGACGAUGUCAAAUCAUCAUGCCCUUUAUGUCUUGGGCUACACACGUGCUACAAUGGUCGGUACAAAGGGCAGCGAAGUCGUAAGGCUAAGCGAAUCUCAAAAAGCCGAUCCCAGUUCGGAUUGUGGGCUGCAACCCGCCCACACUGAAGUUGGAGUUGCUAGUAAUCGCAGAUCAGCAUGCUG